rnacentral:rRNA from 1 species
CCUGGCGGCCGUAGCGCGGUGGUCCCACCUGACCCCAUGCCGAACUCAGAAGUGAAACGCCGUAGCGCCGAUGGUAGUGUGGGGUCUCCCCAUGUGAGAGUAGGG